UACGAAGGUGGCGAGCGUUACUCGGAAUUACUAGGCGUAAAGGGCAGGUAGGUGGUUUGAUAAGUCUGUUGUGUAAACUCCCGGCUUAACUGGGAGAGGUCAACGGAUACUGUCAGGCUUGAGUAUAGGAGAGGGUACUGGAAUUCCCGGUGUAGCGGUGAAAUGCGCAGAUAUCGGGAGGAACACCAAUGGCGAAGGCAGGUACCUGGACUAUUACUGACGCUGAGGCGCGAAAGCGUGGGGAGCAAACAGG
rnacentral:rRNA from 1 species